GACGUAGGAGGCGAGCGUUUGUCCGGAUUCAUUGGGCGUAAAGAGCGCGCAGGCGGCUUGGUAAGUCGGAUGUGAAAUCCCGAGGCUCAACCUCGGGUCUGCAUCCGAUACUGCCCGGCUAGAGGUAGGUAGAGGAGAGUGGAAUUCCCGGUGUAGCAGUGAAAUGCGUAGAGAUCGGGAGGAACACCAGCGGCGAAGGCGGCAUCCUGGACUGGUCCUGACACUCAGGAGCGAAAGCGUGGGGAGCGAUCCGG
rnacentral:rRNA from 1 species